rnacentral:tRNA from 1 species
GCCUCCGUAGAUCAGGGGUAGAUCGCAUUCUUGGUAAGAAUGAGGGCGUGGGUUCAAAUCCCACCGGAGGCU